CUUGAACACGGACUAACAGCUGAACUUGAGAAUCUCCCUUAGUAACUGCGAGUGAAGAGGGAUGAGCUCAAAUUUGAAAUCUGGCGGCGUCCUUCGAGCCGUCCGAGUUGUAGUCUGGAGAAGCGUUAUCGGCGCCGGACCGUGUACAAGUCCCUUGGAACAGGGCGUCAUAGAGGGUGAGAAUCCCGUCUUUGACCCCGACAGCCGGGGCUGUGUGAUGCGCUCUCGAAGAGUCGAGUUGUUUGGGAAUGCAGCUCAAAUCGGGUGGUAAACUCCAUCUAAAGCUAAAUAUGGGCGAAAGACCGAUAGCGAACAAGUACCGUGAGGGAAAGAUGAAAAGCACUUUGAAAAGAGAGUUAAAUAGGACGUGAAAUUGUUGAAAGGGAAACGCUUGGAGUCAGUCGCGCGUCCCUCCGGAGUCAGCUUCACGUGCGCGUGGGGUGCAUUUCCGUGGGGGAUGGGCCAGCGUCGAUUUGACUGUCGAARAAGGGUGUGAGGUUUGCUUUUGAUCGGGCAAGCCUUUGCCCGUCGUAAGCGAAGGGUUUGGAUCGAGGGCCCCAACACACCUUGUCGUUUUUAACSGGCCGGGUACCCGGGGGUUUAUCCCACCGAAUUUAAUGUGCUUAAGACGCUGGCGUAAUGGCUUUAAGCGACCCCUC
rnacentral:rRNA from 1 species